GCCAAAUUACCCGAAGCUUAUGCUAUUUUCAAUCCAAUCAUGGAUAUUAUGCGUGUUAUACCUCUAUUAUUUUUUCUGUUAGCCUUUGUUUGGCAAGCUGUUGUAAGUUUUCGAUGA
rnacentral:rRNA from 1 species